AUCUUUUCAAAUAUUCAAAAGAAAGAUCGCCGGAACCACCAUCUCUGACGACCCAACCCCAAACUAACCUAAAACUACACCCCUCAACCACCACCCCUUCCCCUUUCCAACCAUCUAAUCCAUAUCCUUCAGAUCCCAGCAGACCGGCUCAAAUAUUAAAUCUAAGUUUACCCUAAAUCCUAAAACCCACCGGAAUUUGUUCAUACUGGCCUUAAAUGGCCCCUUUCUGUCCCGCUCCCUAACUCUACGACCCACAGCCCUCAAACAUAACUGACCACAAAGGAAAAUCAGAUCUGAGACUUCACUUGGUCUCAGAAUCACAAAACGCCACCCCUGAACCCUUCGUCCAUCUCCGAUACUCAAGGUAAAAUGUCUUAGAGGUUAAAAACCUCCCAAGGUCAGAAACUCGUGGAACUGAAAAAAUUCCAAAUUAGGGUUGCAUGCACAAAAAAGCUAAGUACCCUGUCUAUAUUUUGUAUAGGUUUCUUGUUUAAUUGCUAUUUUGUUUAAAAUUUUACUUGUUUUCUAUGAUCUCAUUCUGAAAUAUGCUUGUUAUAUUCUGUGGUUCCUUUGGGUGUCACUGGUGAAUUCAUUCAUCUUCUAUAAUCUUCCAUAAGUUUCACCUCUGAAAUUUUACAUGGCUUGUUGAUCUUUGCCUCUUGACUCUUCAGUAGUUUCACCUCUGAAAUUUUUACAUGGUUUGUUGAUCAUCAUCUCUUGAUUCUGCAUUUGUUUCACCUCUGAGGUUCUGAAUGGUCUUGUUAGAUGCUUAUCUUUGUGGAUCCUACAUGUGUUAAUAUCAUGAUUUUGAGUAGGUUUCUUCUUUUAAGAGCUUUAUACCAGUCAUAUUUCUUUCCUAGUGAUUGUGAUCUUCACUAUUUGCACAUGUUAGGAUAAAUUACUUUCCUGAAUAUUGUAACUACUGAUAUUAGCUUUGUUUGAAUUUCCUGGUUUUUACUUCAAAGUUUUUUACUACGUAUUAUAGUUUGGCCAUUGUUCCUGCAUAGUCAAUUGUGUUUCUUUUUUGUUUGUUUUGGUUCAUCUUGACGUAUUCAUAAAUAUUCAUAUAGUCCUGAAGUUGUGAUAAUUGUUUGCUUGAAUCCAUGAGGUGCAUUGUUUAAUCCUUAAACUUUUUGAGUAGCCACUUCUACAUAAUUGUGUCUGUAGUUUAGAUUCAGACUUUGAUCCAUAACCUGAAGGCAAUUAACUAGGGUCAGAUUUGACCAAACAAAUGGAAACCAAGGUUAAAAAUCUUAGGUCAGUAAUUAGGAAAAGGGACAUGGGGUAUAAAGGGUAUUUGAAUACAGGUAAUCCUGUAACCACUCCUAGAACAUUCUAGUGAGGGGUUUAAACAUAAUUUUCUGUCUCAAACUUGAGGCGCAAGUCAGAAAACUAAGGGCUAUUUAGGUAAAUCUGAAAAUUAGGUAAGGUACUAAAAGGAAAACAAGAAAAUAGAUGUUGCCCUAAGGCUUCAACUAUAAAGUAGGGCAAUCUGAACAUUGAAGGGGGAUUUUUUUUUGGAGAUUUUCGAGCAAAUUUUCCUUUAAAAGCAUUUUAGCGAAUUAGGAUAUAUAAAAUAUAUAUUAGCCUCUUAUACAUUCUUUAGAAAUCCUUUGGUGUUGUUCUCUUCCGUUUGAUAUUAAGCUGCUCUUCUUUUAGAGAUUUAUUGUUGUCAUUUGCUCUCAAACUUCCUGAGUUUUUCUGAGUUUCAUUGGCUGAUUGACUGCUGUUCUGGCUUGCUACUUGCUUCACUUUACUCAUAGGCUUUUUGUCUUGUUGAUACUCCAGGUACCAAUUCCCACCCAAAACUCUGAGAAGCUGUAACGCUUAUGUGCUUUCGAGAUUAUGCCUGAUAAUGAGAAGAUAGUACUUUACUUUGUUUGUUUCAAUUCCUGUUCUAACUGAAUUUAUUCUCUUAGAAUUUUUUGGUAUUUGUACUAAACAUAAACAUGUAUUAAUCAUGGACUGUAAUGGGACUGUACUUUUAAUUUGCUUAAGUCCAGUAGAUUUUAUAAUAGAUUGAUCCAAAAUGAG
rnacentral:lncRNA from 1 species